rnacentral:rRNA from 1 species
GAGUUUGAUCGUGGCUCAGAUUGAACGCUGGCGGCAUGCCUUACACAUGCAAGUCGAGCGGCAGCGCGGGGGCAACCCUGGCGGCGAGCGGCGAACGGGUGAGUAAUACAUCGGAACGUGUCCAGUAGCGGGGGAUAACCUCUCGAAAGAGAGGCUAAUACCGCAUACGACCUACGGGUGAAGGCGGGGGACCGCAAGGCCUCGCACUAUUGGAGCGGCCGAUGUCGGAUUAGCUAGUUGGCGGGGUAAAAGCCCACCAAGGCGACGAUCCGUAGCUGGUCUGAGAGGACGAUCAGCCACACUGGAACUGAGACACGGUCCAGACUCCUACGGGAGGCAGCAGUGGGGAAUUUUGGACAAUGGGGGCAACCCUGAUCCAGCCAUGCCGCGUGAGUGAAGAAGGCCUUCGGUUGUAAG